UUGACCUCGAUCAGGUAGG
rnacentral:rRNA from 2 species